rnacentral:rRNA from 1 species
AACGAACGCUGGCGGCAGGCUUAACACAUGCAAGUCGAACGCAUCCUUCGGGGUGAGUGGCAGACGGGUGAGUAACGCGUGGGAACGUGCCCUUCAGUUCGGGAUAACCCAGGGAAACUUGGGCUAAUACCGGAUACGUGCGAGAGCAGAAAGAUUUAUCGCUGAAGGAUCGGCCCGCGUCUGAUUAGCUAGUUGGUGGGGUAAUGGCCCACCAAGGCGACGAUCAGUAGCUGGUCUGAGAGGAUGAUCAGCCACAUUGGGACUGAGACACGGCCCAAACUCCUACGGGAGGCAGCAGUGGGAAUAUUGGACAAUGGGCGCAAGCCUGAUCCAGCCAUGCCGCGUGAGUGAUGAAGGCCUUAGGGUUGUAAAGCUCUUUCGUCCGGGACGAUAAUGACGGUACCGGAAGAAGAAGCCCCGGCUAACUUCGUGCCAGCCGCCGCGGUAAUAC